CGUCACGCACGACUGUGUUGUGUAUUGCAAAUGAGAAAGACCCGUCACAUUACUCUCUUCACAAUCGCGUCUCACUCCCAAACCCUCUUCGCGUAGUGUAGUAAAUAUAUCGCCAUGGGAUUCAGUGAUAAGCACAAUAAUGCUGAUGGAAAAGACCCGGAUUUUGGUGCAAUCUUUAUUUCGAAUAGUGACACAAAGAGAGAAAGCUUCCGGAGGGGAUUAUUUGGCCUUCUGUCAACUGAAAUCCAGUUUGUAGAGAAGGUUAAAGCCUGAAUGAUUUUAUUCUUAUUUGAAUAUGAGAAGAGACAACUUCACGGUGUGUUUAAGGCUUCCUGUGAUGGGGCUAUAAAUAUUGUGCCUAAUGCCUUUGCAGCAGUGGGGAAGCAAUACCUGCUCAGGCAUAAUGGGCAAAAAUAAGUGGUGCGAGUUAAAGCACCGCUAUAAUGUUGCCGAGAUAGAGGUCCCAAAGCCUUAGGAGGAGGAGAUUUCCCACUUGAAGAUCAACCGAAAAAGAAAGAGGGGCGAGAAAGAGGUCCGGGGGUCCUCUGCCCCUCGCGGCACGGAGGAGGUGACUUCCAAGGCUGCGGAUGCCGACGCAGUCGACCUCACCGGGAGCCCUCCGCCUGGGGAGGUUCCCCAAGUGGUUGUUGUGGAGACUGCUGAGCAGGCUGUUCCCUC